rfam:Deer tick virus strain ctb30 polyprotein gene, complete cds
CGACCUACUGCGGCAGCACACACAGUGACGGGAAGUUGGUCGCUCCCGACGCAGUUAGGUCAGAGAAAAUUUUGUGAGACCAA